GCUGAGUGAUGAGUCCAAGGCGAAUGUGACUCCUUGAUCCUCUGGAUAUGACCUCUGCUUACUGCCUUUGGUCUGUAAUCUUGGUGGUUGUGCAGAAGUUUCUCGCUGCCGCUGUAAGGCCAGAGCUACAUUAGCAUUUGUUGCAGGUCUUUGUCAGCCCUAAUCUGCUUGCAAGAGUGUCUUGCGGAUUCUGAGAGGACCAACAGGAGGAAGCAGUGUGAUCUAAAUGGUGGUGAGCAGAGGUCAUUACUCAAAAGAGGGAAUAAGGGACAUGAGCACUUUUCUUUGGUAAUCUGACAGCA